UACUAGUAUUAGAGGCACUGCCUGCCCAGUGACAUUAGUUAAACGGCCGCGGUAUCCUGACCGUGCAAAGGUAGCAUAAUCAUUUGUUCUCUAAAUAGGGACUUGUAUGAAUGGCCACACGAGGGUUCUACUGUCUCUUGCUUCCAAUCAGUGAAAUUGACCUCCCCGUGCAGAGGCGGGGAUACACAAAUAAGACGAGAAGACCCUAUGGAGCUUUAAUUAACUAACUCAAAGAAAAUAUAAAUAACCGCCAAGGGAUAAUAAUCUUCUACCUGAGUUAGCAAUUUCGGUUGGGGUGACCUCGGAGAACAGAAAAACCUCCGAGUGACUAAAAUCUAGAUUUACCAAUCAAAAUGUAGUGUCACUUAUUGAUCCAAAAUAUUUGAUCAACGGAACAAGUUACCCUAGGGAUAACAGCGCAAUCCUAUUCAAGAGUCCAUAUCGACAAUAGGGUUUACGACCUCGAUGUUGGAUCAGGACACCCCAAUGGUGCAGCCGCUAUUAAAGGUUCGUUUGUU
rnacentral:rRNA from 1 species